UACCUGGUUGAUUCUGCCAGUAGUCAUAUGCUUGUCUCAAAGAUUAAGCCAUGCAUGUCUAAGUAUAAGCAAUUAUACCGCGAAACUGCGAAUGGCUCAUUAUAUAAGUUAUCGUUUAUUUGAUAGCACAUUACUACAUGGAUAACUGUGGUAAUUCUAGAGCUAAUACAUGCUAAAAAUCCCGACUUCGGAAGGGAUGUAUUUAUUAGAUUAAAAGCCAACGCCCUUCGGGG
rnacentral:rRNA from 1 species